rnacentral:rRNA from 1 species
GAUGAACGCUGGCGGCGUGCCUAAUACAUGCAAGUCGAGCGAACGGACGAGAAGCUUGCUUCUCUGAUGUUAGCGGCGGACGGGUGAGUAACACGUGGAUAACCUACCUAUAAGACUGGGAUAACUUCGGGAAACCGGAGCUAAUACCGGAUAAUAUUUUGAACCGCAUGGUUCAAAAGUGAAAGACGGUCUUGCUGUCACUUAUAGAUGGAUCCGCGCUGCAUUAGCUAGUUGGUAAGGUAACGGCUUACCAAGGCAACGAUGCAUAGCCGACCUGAGAGGGUGAUCGGCCACACUGGAACUGAGACACGGUCCAGACUCCUACGGGAGGCAGCAGUAGGGAAUCUUCCGCAAUGGGCGAAAGCCUGACGGAGCAACGCCGCGUGAGUGAUGAAGGUCUUCGGAUCGUAAAACUCUGUUAUUAGGGAAGAACAUAUGUGUAAGUAACUGUGCACAUCUUGACGGUACCUAAUCAGAAAGCCACGGCUAACUACGUGCCAGCAGCCGCGGUAAUACGUAGGUGGCAAGCGUUAUCCGGAAUUAUUGGGCGUAAAGCGCGCGUAGGCGGUUUUUUAAGUCUGAUGUGAAAGCCCACGGCUCAACCGUGGAGGGUCAUUGGAAACUGGAAAACUUGAGUGCAGAAGAGGAAAGUGGAAUUCCAUGUGUAGCGGUGAAAUGCGCAGAGAUAUGGAGGAACACCAGUGGCGAAGGCGACUUUCUGGUCUGUAACUGACGCUGAUGUGCGAAAGCGUGGGGAUCAAACAGGAUUAGGUACCCUGGUAGUCCACGCCGUAAACGAUGAGUGCUAAGUGUUAGGGGGUUUCCGCCCCUUAGUGCUGCAGCUAACGCAUUAAGCACUCCGCCUGGGGAGUACGACCGCAAGGUUGAAACUCAAAGGAAUUGACGGGGACCCGCACAAGCGGUGGAGCAUGUGGUUUAAUUCGAAGCAACGCGAAGAACCUUACCAAAUCUUGACAUCCUUUGACAACUCUAGAGAUAGAGCCUUCCCCUUCGGGGGACAAAGUGACAGGUGGUGCAUGGUUGUCGUCAGCUCGUGUCGUGAGAUGUUGGGUUAAGUCCCGCAACGAGCGCAACCCUUAAGCUUAGUUGCCAUCAUUAAGUUGGGCACUCUAAGUUGACUGCCGGUGACAAACCGGAGGAGGGUGGGGAUGACGUCAAAUCAUCAUGCCCCUUAUGAUUUGGGCUACACACGUGCUACAAUGGACAAUACAAAGGGCAGCGAAACCGCGAGGUCAAGCAAAUCCCAUAAAGUUGUUCUCAGUUCGGAUUGUAGUCUGCAACUCGACUACAUGAAGCUGGAAUCGCUAGUAAUCGUAGAUCAGCUUGCUACGGUGAAUACGUUCCCGGGUCU